GGCCUACCAUGGUGGUAACGGGUAACGGGGUGUUAGGGCACGACACCGGAGAGGGAGCCUGAGAAACGGCUACCACAUCCAAGGAUGGCAGCAGGCGCGCAAAUUACCCAAUCCCGACACGGGGAGGUAGUGACAAUAAAUAACAAUACGGGGUUCUUAAGGAUCUCGUAAUUGGAAUGAGUACAAUUUAAAUCUCUUAACGAGGAACAAUUGGAGGGCAAGUCUGGUGCCAGCAGCCGCGGUAAUUCCAGCUCCAAUAGCGUAUAUUAAAGUUGUUGCAGUUAAAAAGCUCGUAGUUGAAUUUCGGGGUCAGUAGGUUGGUCGUGCCACAGGUAUGAACUGGUCUCACUGAUUCCUCCUUCCCGAUGAACCGUAAUGCCAUUAAUUUGGUGUUGCGGGGAGACUGGACUGUUACUUUGAAAAAAUUAGAGUGUUUAAAGCAGGCUAACGCUUGAAUACAUUAGCAUGGAAUAAUGAAAUAGGACGUUCGGUCUUAUUUUGUUGGUUUCUAAGAUUGACGUAAUGAUUAAUAGGGAUAGUUGGGGGCAUUAGUAUUCAAUUGUCAGAGGUGAAAUUCUUGGAUUUAUUGAAGACUAACUACUGCGAAAGCAUUUGCCAAGGAUGUUUUCAUUAAUCAAGAACGAAAGUUAGGGGAUCGAAGACGAUCAGAUACCGUCGUAGUCUUAACCAUAAACUAUGCCGACUAGGGAUCGGAUGAUGUUAAUUUUUUAAUGACUCAUUCGGCGCCUUACG
rnacentral:rRNA from 1 species